rnacentral:rRNA from 1 species
UACGGGGGGAGCAAGCGUUGUUCGGAUUUACUGGGCGUAAAGGGCGCGUAGGCGGCCACUGCAAGUCGGUUGUGAAAUCUCCGGGCUUAACCCGGAAAGGUCAAUCGAUACUGCAGGGCUAGAGUGCGGAAGGGGCAACUGGAAUUCUCGGUGUAGCGGUGAAAUGCGUAGAUAUCGAGAGGAACACCUGCGGCGAAGGCGGGUUGC